rnacentral:tRNA from 1 species
ACUUUUUUAGUAUAACUAAUAUGAGUGACUUCCAAUCACUAAAUCUUGGUGAAACCCCAAGAAAAAGUA